GAUGAACGCUGGCGGCGUGCUUAACACAUGCAAGUCGAACGGAAAGGCCCAAGCUUGCUUGGGUACUCGAGUGGCGAACGGGUGAGUAACACGUGGGUGAUCUGCCCUGCACUUCGGGAUAAGCCUGGGAAACUGGGUCUAAUACCGGAUAGGACGAUGGUUUGGAUGCCAUUUUGGAAAGUUUUUUCGGUGUGGGAUGAGCUCGCGGCCUAUCAGCUUGUUGGUGGGGUAAUGGCCUACCAAGGCGUCGACGGGUAGCCGGCCUGAGAGGGUGUACGGCCACAUUGGGACUGAGAUACGGCCCAGACUCCUACGGGAGGCAGCAGUGGGGAAUAUUGCACAAUGGGCGCAAGCCUGAUGCAGCGACGCCGCGUGGGGGAUGACGGCCUUCGGGUUGUAAACUCCUUUCGCUAGGGACGAAGCGUUUUUGUGACGGUACCUGGAGAAGAAGCACCGGCUAACUACGUG
rnacentral:rRNA from 1 species